GCGGCUCCGCUGUCUACGCAGCCGCGCGGUCUGUAACAUCGUCGCCCGCACCGGCACGGGGCGGCACGGACUUCGGAGG
rnacentral:ncRNA from 1 species